CCUGGAGCCUUCUUCGGCAAACUGGUAAGACAUAAACCUUCUUUUCACAUAUCAAGGUUUAUAUCUCUAGAUUUGUUUUGUGAUUCAAACAGAAUUAUUCUCUAUUGUAAUUUACAAUAGAGAGCUCGAGAUAAGAAUUGAUUAUUUUAGGGUUUAGGAGUCUCCACUUCACUUCUAUGAAUCACUAAAGACCGGGCUGAUAGAUAAACUAAACAGAGGAUUCCUCACGCUUUUUUAUUAUUUUUCAGAGUAAAUUCUCAGAAUUGUCAAAUACAUAGCGGGAGGUCCUAUCAGCCAAAUUCAAACAUAGACCUUCUACUUAUUCAUGCUUCUCAUUGUUCUAGAGUUAUUCGUGUUGCAAAACUGUGAAUAUCUCCUUUCCAUAUCUGUAGUGAGCUACAUCAAUAUCAUGAGACAUAUUCUGGAAAGGUCUCUUAUUUCAUGUAAUUUCAAAUUUGUUUUCAUAUAAUCAUCCUCGAUUUAGCUACUUCUGUCUCAUCAUCAUUGUAUUCUUUCAUAACUCGGACUCAUAUACGCUUUUCAAUUUUUUGAAAUUCUCAUUGAUUCAAGCAGUCUCAACGUACAGUCAAUGACAGAGACGAAGAAAAAGUGUUACUUUCAAAUGCAAUAUAGGAAGCCGAGCAUAGGAAGUUGUUGAAGUUGGACAUGAAGCAAAAUGAACAAAAGAGGAGCAGAAGUGGGUCACAAAUAAGUAUAAGCAGAAGGAUGAGAAAUUAAAGGCAGCAAGGAUGGGGAGGGAUCACAAUCAAAGAACCAUCAAAAAAAUAAGAAGAUAAGAAGGGCAAAAAGAAACUGGCCACUAUGAUUGAGAAACACGUGUAAGAGAAUGUUAGGCUAGAAGAGUUUCAAUCUGAUAAAUAAAUGACGCAAAGGAUGUUACUAGAAAUGAUAUGGGAGUAUUCAUGAUCACAAUACAGAAGGAUUGCCCUGAUUCUCCAAAUAUUUUCCAUAUCAGUUCCUGCGUUGGAGACUGUCUUUGAAAACCUUCCGCUUCAGAUACUGUUAUCGAAGAAGAUACCAUCUAUUCGGAAAUCUUCAGCGUGUGUGAAUGAUUACCAAAAUAAGCUUCCCCUGAACUUAUCUCUUAAAUAUAAAGAGCCAUUAUGUAGUGUAGAUGAACAUUUAGAUGAUGAUUACAUUUGUUGAAUUAAGCUUGCAGAGGAAUUGAAUGUUGAUGGAGUAUUGGAGAACUGGGGAAGGAUUAAGCAGGUAUCAUGGAAGCUUGGGAUGGGGAAGUUAGAGAAGAUUUGAUUAAAAAGUACUUGACAAUUCGGUUUGGUGUCAGUAGGAUGUAUGAUUGUUUAGGUAAAAAUAAUUUGUUUGUUGUUUUGGUGUCUAGGUAUAUAAUAACUUUUUGUUGAUCUGUGACAGUAUAGUAUCAAUUCUUCAAUAUUUAGAUUAACCGAAUUCAAUUAUUGAUGGAU